AUUAGCAUUACCUGGAGAUCUUGUUAAAAUGCAGCUCUUGAUGCAAUGGGUCUGGGUUUCAACCUGAGGUUCUGUAUUUCCAACAAGCUGCUGGAUGAUACUGAU
rnacentral:pre_miRNA from 1 species